rnacentral:rRNA from 1 species
CACUCCUGCGGGAGGCAGCAGUGGGGAAUAUUGGACAAUGGGCGCAAGCCUGAUCCAGCCAUGCCGCGUGAGUGAUGAAGGCCCUAGGGUUGUAAAGCUCUUUCACCGGUGAAGAUAAUGACGGUAACCGGAGAAGAAGCCCCGGCUAACUUCGUGCCAGCAGCCGCGGUAAUACGAAGGGGGCUAGCGUUGUUCGGAUUUACUGGGCGUAAAGCGCACGUAGGCGGACUAUUAAGUCAGGGGUGAAAUCCCGGGGCUCAACCCCGGAACUGCCUUUGAUACUGGUAGUCUUGAGUUCGAGAGAGGUGAGUGGAAUUCCGAGUGUAGAGGUGAAAUUCGUAGAUAUUCGGAGGAACACCAGUGGCGAAGGCGGCUCACUGGCUCGAUACUGACGCUGAGGUGCGAAAGCGUGGGGAGCAAACAGGAUUAGAUACCCGAGUAGUCCCAUGA